GGAGAGGUGCUCGAGUGGCUGAAGAGGCGCGCCUGGAAAGUGCGUAAACGCCGAAAGCGUUUCGCGGGUUCGAAUCCCGCCCUCUCCGCAA
rnacentral:tRNA from 3 species